rnacentral:misc_RNA from 1 species
CAGAGUUCCUGCCCUCACGGGUAGAAACCCCACCCUUGUGUAUUAUAUAUUGUUGCUUUGGCGGGCCGCCCUCACGGGCGUCGGCUCACGCUGGCUCGCGCCUGCCAAAGGACCCAAAACCCUGAAUAUUAGUGUCGUCUGAGUACUAUAUAAUAGUUA